UACGGAGGGGGGCUAGCGUUGUUCGGAAUUACUGGGCGUAAAGCGCACGUAGGCGGCUUUGUAAGUUAGAGGUGAAAGCCCGGAGCUCAACUCCGGAAUAGCCUUUAAGACUGCAUCGCUAGAACGUUGGAGAGGUAAGUGGAAUUCCGAGUGUAGAGGUGAAAUUCGUAGAUAUUCGGAAGAACACCAGUGGCGAAGGCGACUUACUGGACAACUGUUGACGCUGAGGUGCGAAAGCGUGGGGAGCAAACAGG
rnacentral:rRNA from 1 species